rnacentral:rRNA from 1 species
GUGUCAGCCGCCGCGGUAAUACAGAGGCCUCGAGCGUUAGGCGGAAUCACUGGGCUUAAAGCGCGUGUAGGCGGACUCUUAAGUGUCUUGUGAAAUCCCACGGCUCAACCGUGGAACUGCUGGGCAUACUGGGAGUCUUGGGCCACUCAGGGGCGACCGGAACAAGCGGUGGAGCGGUGAAAUGCGUAGAUAUCGCUUGGAACGCCAAAGGUGAAGACAGGUCGCUGGGGGUGUGCCGACGCUGAGACGCGAAAGCCAGGGGAGCAAACGGGAUUAGAUACCCCAGUAGUCC